CGGUUGAUCCUGCCGGAGGUUACUGCUAUCGGAGUUCGAUUAAGCCAUGCGAGUCUAAAGGUUUCUUCGGAAACCUUGGCGGACCGCUCAGUAACACGUGGAUAACCUACCCUUGAGACUGGAAUAACCCCGAGAAACUGGGGAUAAUACCGGAUAGAUCAGGGAUGCUGGAAUGCACCUUGAUCCAAAGCUCCGGCGCCCAAGGAUGGGUCUGCGGCCUAUCAGGUAGUAGUGGGUGUAACGUACCUACUAGCCGACGACGGGUACGGGUUGUGAGAGCAAGAGCCCGGAGAUGGAUUCUGAGACACGAAUCCAGGCCCUACGGGGUGCAGCAGGCGCGGAACCUUUACAAUGUGCGAAAGCAUGAUAAGGGGACUCCGAGUGCCAGCAUCUAAUGCUGGCUGUCCUUGUGCCUAAAAAGCACAAGAUAGCAAGGGCCGGGUAAGACCGGUGCCAGCCGCCGCGGUAACACCGGCGGCCCGAGUGGUAGCCGCUAUUAUUGGGUCUAAAGGGUCCGUAGCCGGUUUGGUAAGUCCUUUGGGAAAUCUGGUUGCUUAACAAUCAGACUGCCAAGGGAUACUGCUGAACUUGAGACCGGGAGAGGUAAGAGGUACUUCAGGGGUAGGAGUGAAAUCUUGUGAUCCCUGGGGGGACCAUCUGUGGCGAAGGCGUCUUACCAGAACGGGUCUGACGGUGAGGGACGAAAGCUGGGGGCGCAAACCGGAUUAGAUACCCGGGUAGUCCCAGCCGUAAACGAUGCUCGCUAUGUGUC
rnacentral:rRNA from 1 species